GCCGAAAGCAAGAGUUGGACACUUAACCGACUGAGCCACCCAGGUGGUCAUGAGCAGGUAGAAAGAUCCCGUAUUUCUCUUACCGAUCUUGUGUCCGGGACCGUCAAACUCACCGGCCAGGUGUGUGCGUGUAUCUGGAUUCCGUAGGACCCUAUCAGCUGUGACUAAGAACGUGUUCGCUUGUUCUCUCCAGUCUGUGUACUACCCCUUUUCUGUUCCUCUCUGUGCCUCACUGCACGCCCAGUACGAUGUGGAGUACGGAGGCGAGAGCACACCUCCCUCGCCUGCUCCUGGUGCUGGAGGUGAGCAGUCGGCCCGUCACCAUGACUUCUGAUGCUCUGACAGGCGGAAUGAUGCUCUCGAAGAUACCCUGUCCUUCCGCCGGAAUCCGGACUGUGUCGGGUUACACGGGCAAAGGGAAUGGAGGUGCCGAUCGGCCUGGAUAGUGAGACUAACCUGGGUUUUCCAGAUGGACCCAGUGUCACCACAGGGGUCCUUGACGGUGGAGGCGGGGGGGGUCAGGAAGGGCGGGCGUAGGCAGUGAGAGGACCCCAACCACGGGUGGGGAGUAGACAGGGAGGAGGCCAGGAGCCGAGGAACGUGGGCGCCUCCGGCAGUAGGACGCCUCCGGGAGGACGCAGCCCCGCAGGCACUGUGGUCCGGCGUGGCCCGGGUCCGACUCAAGGCUGCCGGCACGAGGUCCGCGAGGAAACUUCGCACGGGUGUCUUUUAUCCUGAGGCCAAGGAAGCUGCCUUCCCGUGGUUGGACACCUCUCACCACGAACGUGCCGGGUUUCGUUCCUUGUUUCGCUGCGUCCGUUGAGUUGAUCCCGUGCAUUUUGUCCUUCAUUCCCCUAGGAUGGGCCGCGACGUCUGUGGGUUUUCAGGUGUGCGGCUGAUGGUGCAAGUGCUGCCGUAUUUGGGUUACUGAUGCUGUGUUACAAAGUUAACAUCUGGGUUCACCAGGGACCCCGACGUCUAGUCUUCUGUCAGGCCCAGGCUUGCGUCGCAAAGGAGCUGGGAAGCGUCCCUCUGUCUUCUGAAAGAGUUUGUGAGUGAUGGGUGUUAUUGACCGAAUGCUCCGUGAAGUCACCAGGCUCUUCCUUUGUGUGAACUUUAGACUUUCUGUGUUAAUUCGGUUUCUUAUUACAGGUCUGUGGUGUUUUUCUGGUUUUUUCUGAGUCCAUUUAAGUGAUUUGUGUCUGUAGGAAUUCAUCGGUGUCGUUCACUCGCAUUCCUGGAGAGGCCUUGACGUUUAUUUCUGCAGGGUGGGUGGUCCGGUCCCGUCUCCCGCGUGAAUUCAGGAACCUGGGUGUUGUAUCACUGUGGGUCUGUCAACUUGAUGAUCUUUUCAGAGAGUUUUGGGUUUACUGUCCGGCUGAUUUCCUGUCUUCUUCUUCUUCCUUUGUGUUUCUCUUGCUCUUCUCUAGUUUCCUGAGGUAGAAGCCUUUUCUGUGCAGGUGUAGCAGGCCCUGGGCUUGUCUGUGUCUGACAGACGCUGGUGUCCGCUUUUGCUUAUUUUGACCCCCAAGCUUAGAGGUCUGCUACUUCACUUCUAAACGGGGGAGGUUUUCCUCACUUCGUUCCGCCACAGGUAACUAAUUCCGCUGGGGUCAGAGGACGUACUUUGUAUGCGUUGGCUUCUGGAAACUUAGGACGACUUGUUCCGUGGCCGGAGUUGUGGUCUGUGCCUGAGGCCGCCGCUGCGCGGGCCUUUCUGAACCCAGGCGGGUUCCGUCGAGCAGUCGCGCGCCGUGCUCCUUCCGCGUCCUUGGCGAUGGCAUCGACGCGGUCUGGCUCUUGCCGAGAAUCAAGACCUCUAAUCCUUACCGCUACGUUACUUAUCUUCCUUGCGAUUUCUCAGUUGUACUCUUGCGUACGCUGUACAUACGAAGUGUUCUUUGUCCCCAGGGGCUGCCACGCCCACUCAGUGGACAGGAGCCGUUUGCUGCUUCAUCAGAGGACUCUUAGAAAGUCAGGGUUCCAGGUGACACAUAAUUAUGACACCUGUCUGAGCUGGCAGCCGGGGAAGGAAGACACAGGAUGUGGUGUCCUGCCUCCUCGCCCCCCCCCCUCCCCGCCUACACACACCCACCUGGCCGCGGUGGGACCCCGGAUGGGCUUGACCCCCACCUCUGCUAAGGGCUGACCUGUGAUGCAGACAGAGCCCCGGCGGCACAUGGGCACAGGGUGUCUCGCCGUCUUGAUCUGUGGGCCCCAUACCAGACCACGUCCCAGGCCUCCCUGCUGCCCCGGCCCAGGAUCGGCACCCUGGGGAGACGGACCAAGAGAAGCCUCUGCUUUUAUGGUUUCACUGACACGUUGAUGAUGAAAAGUUCAGGGGGCUACACCACGAUGAAUGUCCUCAAAGGCCCUGAAACACACACUCGGGUCACUGCUGUGAACCUCACCUGGUACACAGAGACAUGUGGUAGGUUCUGAUUAGUAAGGCCCGGUCACUGCUAGGACCCCAGCGCCUUCCUAGCUGGAGAGCAGCACCACAGCAGGGCAGACAGACCUCAGCCAGGAAAGCAGGCGCACGGCCCUAGGGAGAGACUUCAGCACUCCUCCCCGGGCCGCGGGGGCCCUGGGCUCGUGCCCGAUGGGAGGAGGACGGGCCGCCUCAGAGCCCCUACGUGUCAGGGAAGAGGUGAAGGAGAGAAGCCACGCCAGGCCCCAGCCACACCGCCGUGCCCCGCACCGCACGCUUCGGACAGGCUCCCAGCUUCGCAUCCGUGCUCAGAAAGGCGACACCUAGGAGCCCAGGAGGCGGGAGCCGCAGCAAGAGAUCGGCGAGCAGGAGGGCACCCCUGACCCCUUCAGGAAAUGCUGGAAGGAGGGUGCCUGGCUGGCUCAGUAGGGUGUGAGUUCAAGCCCCACACUGGGUAUGGAGAUUUAAUUCUUGAAAAGAGAGAAGAGAAAAUGUUGCAAAGAAAGACGUCUUCCCAAGUGGCUGAAACCCACGGAGGGACAGCCCAUAACCGUUUACGAAGGGAGCCGGUGGUGUGAAAAAGUGCACAGAGCGAGCACCAGGCUCCCUGCAGAAUCACCUCCUUCGAGCUCCCCACGAGUGAAGAGACCUCCCCCUGCCACCCGCCCCCCCAUGUUGCCGUCAUUUAGAGGAAGCAGACCGGGCUUGUACAAGGAAGGCCAGAGUGCAGCCGCCGACACACUCACGUAGAGUCGGCCAGACCAGAGGAAAGCGUGUGACGAAGCCCGGUUCCCCUGGGGGUGACUUCGGCCACACUUCUGCGUGUCCUGCCACCUGCCGGCACCCCAGCGUCCCCACCUCACUGUCCCGCUAGCGCGCCCAGCCUCCCGGGUGCUGGCGACUCCCGAGGGCGCGCUUCGGCCUGGACCCGCCCCCCGCCCCAGUGGACACAGCUGGACCCCCCACAACUGCGUGCUCACUGCUCGGCUCACGCUGUGAACCCCUUGGCCUCCCCUGCGGCCCCACACGCACUCGAGAUCCCGUGGAGACCUGCCCGCCCCCACCUCCGCACGGCUGCGAGUGGCCCCCAGGGUCCCCCCGCACCCUGUCCAGCGACCCGCCUGCCACCGCUCCCCAGUCGCCUCCCCUCACGCCUCAGCCACACUGGGCUCCCGUCGCGCACUUCUGCCCCAGGGCCUCGGCACUCGCUGGUCUCUCCCAGAGAUCAGCAAGGCCCUCUCCCUGAACCUUUGGUUUUUGCUCACGUCACCUCCCUGGCCACAAGGCUUCCCGCUUGCUCCUUGCCCACUUUAUUUUCCUUAGUGCUUCCUCAGUCCGAGCUGCCCAGGAUGUCCAUCUUGUCACUCCGUCCCUCUACCGGGACAGAAAUUCGACAAGGGCAGGGCUUUCUGUGUUCACUCAACCCCGAGGGUAGCUCGGCCUCAGCCCCCAGGUGUUUGUCAAACCGGUCACUGGGGUUCAGGACGAGGAGCAGUGCCCCGCUCCCCUCCCCCCACCUCAAUACGGGAGACCCACGGGACAAAAGGCCAAGCAGCAAGACCGCAGAAAGUUCACAAAGGAAACGGAGCCCACAUGGGGAAAAGGAGGUUCCCUAAACAAAGCUCACUGCGCUCCUUUACGUUCCUGAGCACUGACGUGAUCUGAAAAAGAUGCCAUUUACGACAAGAACAAAGUAGACUGGGACUGACGUUCCCGGAGAACCGACGUCCGGGAAGGAAGCCGUGACACCCGACGUCACCCAGGCAAGUGCUGCGUGGCGUUCUGCCUUCCCCUGGGUUGGGCAAGGAGUCUCUACUUCCUUGGAAUUUCCCACAUGGUCACAGCAGCC